AUUGAACGCUGGCGGCAUGCUUUACACAUGCAAGUCGAACGGUAACAGGCCGCAAGGUGCUGACGAGUGGCGCACGGGUGAGUAAUGCAUCGGAACGUGCCCAGUCGUGGGGGAUAACUACUCGAAAGAGUAGCUAAUACCGCAUACGAUCUAUGGAUGAAAGCGGGGGACCGUAAGGCCUCGCGCGAUUGGAGCGGCCGAUGUCAGAUUAGGUAGUUGGUGGGGUAAAGGCUCACCAAGCCAACGAUCUGUAGCUGGUCUGAGAGGACGACCAGCCACACUGGGACUGAGACACGGCCCAGACUCCUACGGGAGGCAGCAGUGGGGAAUUUUGGACAAUGGGCGCAAGCCUGAUCCAGCAAUGCCGCGUGCAGGAAGAAGGCCUUCGGGUUGUAAACUGCUUUUGUACGGAACGAAACGGCUCUGGUUAAUACCCGGGGCUAAUGACGGUACCGUAAGAAUAAGCACCGGCUAACUACGU
rnacentral:rRNA from 1 species